GAUGAACGCUGGCGGCGUGCCUAAUACAUGCAAGUCGAGCGAACAGAUAAGGAGCUUGCUCCUUUGACGUUAGCGGCGGACGGGUGAGUAACACGUGGAUAACCUACCUAUAAGACUGGGAUAACUUCGGGAAACCGGAGCUAAUCCCGGAUAACAUACUGAACCGCAUGGUUCGAUAGUGAAAGGCGGCUUUGCUGUCACUAAUAGCUGGAUCCGCGCCGUAUUAGCUAGUUGGUAAGUUAACGGCUUACGAAGGCGACGAGACGUAGCCGACCGGAGAGAGGGGUAGGCGGCCUUAGAGCGUGACCGCGGACAUUACUACUACGGGAGGCAGCAGAAGGGAAUCGUCCGCAAUAGGCGAAAGCCUGACGGAGCGACGCCGCGUGAGUGAUGAAGGUGUUCGGAUCGUAAAACUCUGUUAUCAGGGAAGAACAGAUGUGGAAGUAAAUGUGCAGAGCUUGACGGUACCUGAUCAGAAAGCCACGGCUAACUACGUG
rnacentral:rRNA from 1 species